rnacentral:rRNA from 1 species
UACGGGGGGGGUAAGCGUUGUUCGGAAUUACUGGGCGUAAAGGGCUCGUAGGCGGCCAACUAAGUCAGACGUGAAAUCCCUCAGCUUAACCGGGGAACUGCGUCUGAUACUGGAUGGCUUGAGAUUGGGAGAGGGAUGCGGAAUUCCAGGUGUAGCGGUGAAAUGCGUAGAUAUCUGGAGGAACACCGGUGGCGAAGGCGGCAUCCUGGACCAACACUGACGCUGAGGAGCGAAAGCCAGGGGAGCAAACGGG